rnacentral:lncRNA from 1 species
AGGGGUGUAGAAGCAAUCAAUCCCUUCUUCACAUCAACUUGUAACUCCCUAAUAGGGAUUGCCGCCAAAAAACUCUUUAUGUACUCUUUACAUGAUUCUUUACCUCUGUAAACAAUGGUGGAUUCUUUUUUGUUUUCAGGUACCAUGUCCCUGUUGACGAUGGUUGAUUCUUCUUGCAAUCUGUCGGUGCUGUUGGUACUAAUGACCAUUUUUCCCUCAUCGGCUGGAUACUUCUUUGUUUUCAGGUACCAUGUCCCUGUUAACGAUGGUUGAAUCUUCUUGCAAUCCGUUGGUGCUGUUGGUACAAAUGACCAUUUUUCCCUCAUCAGCAGCCUCUUUCAUAUCACUUUGCUCCUUUUUAUUGCUAGAUGGUUUAUCAUCU